rnacentral:rRNA from 1 species
CACGUAGGGGCCAAGCGUUGUCCGGAUUUAUUGGGCGUAAAGAGCUCGUAGGCGGUUGGGUAAGUCGGGUGUGAAAACUCUGGGCUCAACUCAGAGACGCCACCCGAUACUGCUCUGACUUGAGUCCGGUAGGGGAGUGGGGAAUUCCUGGUGUAGCGGUGAAAUGCGCAGAUAUCAGGAGGAACACCGGUGGCGAAGGCGGGUCUCUGGGCCGAAACUGACGCUGAGGAGCGAAAGCGUGGGGAGCAAACAGG